CCUACGGGUGGCUGCAGUGAGGAAUAUUGGUCAAUGGCCGGAAGGCUGAACCAGCCAAGCCGCGUGAAGGACGAAGGUGCCAAGCAUUGUAAACUUCUUUUGUCAAGGGACAAAAUCAGGCUCGAGAGCCUGACCGAGGGUACGUGAAGAAAAAGCAUCGGCUAACUCGGUGCAAGCAGCCGCGGUAAUACGGAGGAUGCGGGCGUUAUCCGGAUUUAGUGGGGUAAAGGGGUGCGUAGGCGGGGUGUUAGGUCAGCGGUAAAGGCCCGGGGCUAAACCCCGGCGAGCCGUUGAAACUGGCUGUCUUGAGAUGUGGAGAGGUAUGCGGAAUGCGCAGUGUAGCGGUGAAAUGCUUAGAUAUUAGGAGGAACACCAGUGGCGAAGGCGGCUUACUGGACUGUAACUGACGUUGAGGCUCGAAAGCGUGGGGAGCAAACAGGAUUAGAUACCCUAGUAGUC
rnacentral:rRNA from 1 species